rnacentral:rRNA from 1 species
CAAAAACAUCGCUCUUUGAAGUGGUUUACCAUUAUUAAUAAUUGUAUAUAAAGAGUCGAACCUGCCCGGUGACAAUGUUUGUUAAACGGCCGCGGUACUCUGACCGUGCAAAGGUAGCAUAAUCAUUUGCCUUUUAAUUGAAGGCUUGUAUGAAUGGUUUGACGAGAACUAAACUGUCUCUUCUUAAAUGUAUAAAAAUUAAUUUUUAGGUGAAGAAGCCUGUAUUUAAUUGAGGGACAAGAAGACCCCGUUGAGCUUUAGUGAAUUAAUAAAGAUCUAUGAGAAUUAAAUUUUAAUGUCACAUUUAUUUGUAGAUACUCUUUAUUAAUAAAUCUUUAGUUGGGGCGACUGAGGAACAUAAAUAGCUUCCUUUAAAUAAAAAUAAAUUUAAGGAAAUCAAUCUAUUAUUUUGGAUCCAGUAUUUACUGAUUAAAGGAAAAAGUUACCACGGGGAUAACAGCGUAAUCUUUCUGGAGAGUUCUUAUCGAAAGAAGGGUUUGCGACCUCGAUGUUGGAUUAAGAUAUCCUAGAGAUGCAGAAGUUUCUAAUGGUUAGUCUGUUCGACUAUUAAAAUCUUACGUGAUCUGA